UGAAUUAUAAUCUUAUUUUGUUGUAAGGAAAAUAUUUUUAUUUGUAAAGGUUGGUAUAUUAAUAUUGAAAAAUUUAUUUUAUGAUAGUGCAUUAGUACUGUAAAGGAAGGACUAAUAGAAAUGUUUAUGUAUAGAAGUGUUUAAUUUUCGUACCUUUAGUAUCAGGGAUGAAUUAUUAGGAAUAUGGACUUAUUUUUCCCGAAAGAGAAUAAGCUAUAUAAUAAUAUAUUAAUGGUGUAACAUAAUCAUUGGUUAUUUUUAUAUAAUUGUGACAUGUAAUUUGGAUUUUUAUAUUCUGGUUUUUUGAUUGUUAAGUUUAAUUUUUGACUUCGUUUGGUUUGUUUUAUUUUUAGGUUUUUGAAUAAUUGAAGUUAUUAUAGUAUUGGGGAUAAGCUUGAUAUUGGUAGCAUAAGGAGAAUGGUUUUUUAAAUAAGGGCUUAAAAGUAGCUUAGUGUGUUAUUACUAAUAUUUUGUUUUAUGUUGUUUUGUUUGUUUAUUGAUUGAAAUUAUUUAUUUUAUUAUGAAAUGGAUGUAAUACUGUUUAUAUGAGUAGAAAAUUUUAUUUAGCUGUUAGGAACUCGGCAAAUUAUGUGUAUUCAACUGUUUAACAAAAACAUUUCCUUUUUUAUUUUAUAAGGUAUUGCCUGCUCAGUGUUGUUAAUAAAUGGCCGCGGUAUUUUGACCGUGCGAGAGUAGCAUAAUAAAUAGUUCUUUGAUUGAGGGCUGGGAUGAAAGGUGAUAUGUGAUAUUGACUGUCUUGUAGUUAUUUUUUGAAUUUUACUUUUUAGUGAGAAGGCUUAAUAAAAUAAACUUAUUAGACGAGAAGACCCUAUAGAGCUUUAUUAAUAUUUUGGUCAUUGUAUUUGCUUUUAUUUGAAUUUUGAUUAUUUUAUUAAUUUUGUUGGGGCAAUGGUGAAAUAAUUAGAAAUUUUUAUUUGUUUGUUUUUGGUAUGUUGAUCCGGUAUUAUUGAUAAAAAGAUUAAGUUACCUUAGGGAUAACAGCGUGAUUGUCUUGGAAAGUUCUUAUUGAUGGGUGGGUUUGCGACCUCGAUGUUGGUUUAUUGAGUCUAUAAGGUGCAGUAGCUUUAUAAGAGAGUCUGUUCGACUUUUAAAUCUUUACAUGAUCUGAGUUCAGAUCGGCGUGAGCCAGAUCAGUUUCUAUCUGUAAGAAGAGGGAGUGCUGUAGUACGAAAGGACCCAGCAUUUUUAAUUAUUAUUU
rnacentral:rRNA from 1 species